ensembl:snRNA U6 U6 spliceosomal RNA
GUGCUUGCUUCGGCAGCACAUAUAGUAAAAUUGGAACGACACAGAGAAGAUUAGCAUGGCCCCUGUGCAAGGAUGAUGUGUAAAUUCGAGAAGCGUUCCAUAUUUUU